rnacentral:rRNA from 1 species
CGGGGUGCAGCAGGCGCGAAACCUCUGCAAUAGGCGAAAGCCUGACAGGGUUACUCUGAGUGAUUCCCGCUAAGGGGAUCUUUUGGCACCUCUAAAAAUGGUGCAGAAUAAGGGGUGGGCAAGCCUGGUGUCAGCCGCCGCGGUAAUACCAGCACCCCGAGUGGUCGGGACGAUUAUUGGGCCUAAAGCAUCCGUAGCCGGCCACGCAAGUCCUCCGUUAAAUCCACCCGCUCAACGGUUGGGCUGCGGAGGAUACUACGUGGCUAGGAGGCGGGAGAGGCAAGCGGUACUCAAUGGGUAGGGGUAAAAUCCUUUGAUCCAUUGAAGACCACCAGUGGCGAAGGCGGCUUGCCAGAACGCGCUCGACGGUGAGGGAUGAAAGCUGGGGGAGCAAACCGGAUUAGAUACCCGGGUAGUCCCAGCUGUAGACGAUGCAGACUCGGUGAUGGGAUGGCCUCGAGCCAUCCCAGUGCCGCAGGGAAGCCGUUAAGUCUGCCGCCUGGGGAGUACGGUCGCAAGACUGAAACUUAAAGGAAUG